ACGGGUGAGUAACGCGUGGGAACGUACCUUUUGGUUCGGAACAACACAGGGAAACUUGUGCUAAUACCGGAUAAGCCCUUACGGGGAAAGAUUUAUCGCCGAAAGAUCGGCCCGCGUCUGAUUAGCUUGUUGGUGAGGUAACGGCUCACCAAGGCGACGAUCAGUAGCUGGUCUGAGAGGAUGAUCAGCCACAUUGGGACUGAGACACGGCCCAAACUCCUACGGGAGGCAGCAGUGGGGAAUAUUGGACAAUGGGCGAAAGCCUGAUCCAGCCAUGCCGCGUGAGUGAUGAAGGCCCUAGGGUUGUAAAGCUCUUUUGUGCGGGAAGAUAAUGACGGUACCGCAAGAAUAAGCCCCGGCUAACUUCGUGCCAGCAGCCGCGGUAAUACGAAGGGGGCUAGCGUUGCUCGGAAUCACUGGGCGUAAAGGGUGCGUAGGCGGGUCUUUAAGUCAGAGGUGAAAUCCUGGAGCUCAACUCCAGAACUGCCUUUGAUACUGAGGGUCUUGAGUAUGACAGAGGUGAGUGGAACUGCGAGUGUAGAGGUGAAAUUCGUAGA
rnacentral:rRNA from 1 species